rnacentral:pre_miRNA from 1 species
GUAAUACUCCCUCCGUCCAACAAAAGAUGUCUCAAGUUCGUCAAAAUUUGAAUGUAUUUAGAUGUGACUUGGUGUAUAGAUGCAUUCAAAUUUAGUCAAAAUUGAGACAUUCUUUGUUUAACCGACGAGUAGUACAUU